rnacentral:lncRNA from 1 species
UCGUUAAAAAGAAGUCAAGCUUUUCGGAUCACUUUCCUCUGAAUGGAGGGUGUGCUUCUGAAGACUUUUUCUUCAGGGUUAUCUCUUUGGAGAGGUUUCUUAAUAGACUCAAGUUCAAUUCAAAUAAUUUUUUACUGGGCCUUCAUCUACUCCAUUUUGUGAGUGAAGGAAGAGAUUUUUAUCUGGAGAGUGAGACACCUUAUUAAUAGCGACUCAACAACAAAGUUAUAAAAGGUACGCCGUUGUGUUUGGGGUUCACAACUCAAUACGUCCCCCGUUGUAUGAG